UCAGUCGCAUGUUAACUUAUUUCCAAGACUCUGAUGUUUCUAACCUUUUAAAGAUUUCAGAGAAUUAAUGGGACACAUGAGAUUUUCACAGUCCUGGCCCUGCAGUCAUCCAAUUGGAGAAUGAGCCAAUCCUCUUUCGCAAGGGCAGUUAUCCCAGACAAGUUCAUGUUCCAAGAAGCCAGAUCAGUGUUUCCGGAGACCGUGGCAGAUACUUGGUGGCAUUGGGGUGUUGCAUUGGACUGAAGCCUCUUCAGAACACUGAGGAUAUACCAAUUCAUUUUAGAAGCCUCCAAGGUAUGUGCACAGGGUUCCUGGUCAUUUCAUCUUGGACUGGACAGGCAGGAUUCACCAUCUGUCAGCUUCCAGGAGAACCAAUCCUUUUCCUACGUAUCUCUCCCUCUACUUAAAGACUUAGUGUGAAUGUCAAUUACUCAAGCCUGAAUUAAAAGAGUUGACACAGGACAGGAAAAUUCCAGUCAUCCUCAAGGGAAAAGAGGUCCUGAAAAGAGGAAACAAGGAGAGACCUCACGGAGUCAAAACAGGUGUUCACAGGCAUUGAAUAUGGAAAAUGACUCAAGCUGCUUAGGAUGAGACGCAUGGUCAGAAUGAUUCAGCACAAGGGAUAUAUAACACCCUGAGGAUUAAAACAAAGGUAGUGUCUAGAAUGUUGCUGAAUAUGACAAAGAACUUUUAGAUUAGAACUCCAGGAAUGAAGAAGAUGAAGAAAAACAGACCUCAUGAUUAUCAGCUAAGGCCACUCCUAGCUCAAUCAUGUGUAGUCAGUGACUAUACAUACCAUCAGUAAAAU